rnacentral:rRNA from 1 species
AAUCAUAAUGGCCGAAAAUCUAAGGUUUCUUGGGGAAGGUUCGUCCGCCCAAGGUAAGUCGGGAGCUAAGCUCAGGCCGAGAGGCGUAGGCGAUGCACAUACGGUAGAAAUUCCGUAACCACCGAAACUUAAACAGAGGGACACUUCGAAAUAGCGGAACCCGGGCGUUGGUUGACCCGGGCGAAAGGGAGCGAAAUUAGAGUAGCGAAGUCCGCGAUGUUCGGAGGCGAGAAAAGCUCUGAGGUAUGCUAAGGUGCCCGUACCGCAAACCGACACAGGUAGAUGAGGAGAGAAUCCUAAGGCCAACGGGAGAAGGGUUGUUAAGGAACUCGGCAAAUUGACCCCGUAACUUCGGAAGAAGGGGAGCCCCCUACGGGGGGUCGCAGAGAAAUGGCCCAAGCAACUGUUUACCAAAAACACAGGUCUAUGCUAAAUCGAAAGAUGACGUAUAUGGGCUGACGCCUGCCCGGUGCCGGAAGGUUAAGAGGAGAUGUCAGCGCAAGCGAAGCAUUGAAUUGAAGCCCCGGUAAACGGCGGCCGUAACUAUAACGGUCCUAAGGUAGCGAAAUUCCUUGUCAGGUAAGUUCUGACCCGCACGAAUGGCGUAAUGAUUUGGGCACUGUCUCAACAGCCCGCCCGGCGAAAUUGUAGUACUGGUGAAGAUGCCAGUUACCCGCAACUAGACGGAAAGACCCCAUGGAGCUUUACUGCAGCUUAAUACUGAAAUUCGGUAGUACAUGUACAGGAUAGGUGGGAGACUGAGAAAUACAGGCGUCAGCUUGUAUGGAGUCGCUGUUGGGAUACCACUCUUGUACUGCUGGGUUUCUAACCUGCGGCCGUGAAUCCGGUCGGGGGACACUGUUAGGCGGGCAGUUUGACUGGGGCGGUCGCCUCCUAAAGAGUAACGGAGGCGCUCAAAGGUUCGCUCUGCAUGGAUGGAAACCAUGCGUCAGAGUGUAAACGCAAAAGCGAGCCUAACUGCGAGAAUGACGGUUCGAGCAGUAACGAAAGUUGGAGUUAGUGAUCCGGCGGUAUGUGAAUGGAAAUGCCGUCGCUCAACGGAUAAAAGCUACCCUGGGGAUAACAGGCUGAUCUCCCCCAAGAGUCCACAUCGACGGGGAGGUUUGGCACCUCGAUGUCGGCUCAUCGCAUCCUGGGGCUGUAUUCGGUCCCAAGGGUUUGGCUGUUCGCCAAUUAAAGCGGUACGCGAGCUGGGUUCAGAACGUCGUGAGACAGUUCGGUCCCUAUCUGUCGUGGGCGUAGGAUAUUUGCAAGGAGCUGUCCCUAGUACGAGAGGACCGGGAUGGACGCACCUCUGGUGCACCAGUUGUCACGCCAGUGGCACAGCUGGGCAGCUAUGUGCGGAACGGAUAAACGCUGAAGGCAUCUAAGCGUGAAGCUGCCCUUAAGAUAAGAUAUCCCUUCUGUUUACAGAGUAAGACCCCUUGAAGACUACAAGGUUGAUAGGCUCAAAGUGUAAGCACGGUGACGUGUUUAGCUAGCGAGUACUAAUCGGUCGAGGGCUUAACCU